AACAUGUGCGAGCUGAUUUAAGUAUCAAUCUAUCAUAAUAUAUGUUUAUUUCUGGGCUUUACAAGAGAGUUAUGUCAAAAGGCGGAGCUUAACAAAGGCUUGAAAACAGUGAUAAUCAGCAUCACAGAUCACUGAGGCGAGCAGCAACUACCAUCAUGUUCACUUGUGUACUUAUACUGCUGACUUUAACUCAAGGUAACAGAGCUAAAGAUGUCAUCACCCCAUACAGUGAUGCAGUGUUUGCCACUGAGACUGAGAGUGUCAGAUUCUCUUGUAACUACACUGGUUCUGUUGAUAGUCUUUACUGGUAUCGGCAAUAUGCAGAUUCACCACCACAGUUCCUCAUCCUCGAUUACUAUGGAACAGUUACUCAUGCCAAACCUCCAGUUUCUGGAAUAUCCAUUAAACACAGAAAAGAAGAUAACAGUGUGGAUCUGAUCAUCUCCUCUACUGCUGUAUCAGACUCUGCUCUGUACUACUGUGCUUUGAGGCCCACAGUGACAGGAAACACUCAACACACCAUACAAUUACAUGACAGACUCUAUUCUUAGAAUCAAUGAGAGAGUAAAUGUUUGUCACAUCACCACUGGGGGGUGCUGUGUACAUUAAAACAUUUCAGAGAGGACACCUUACCAUACUGUAUUAGAAAUUAAUUCACAUGUAGGAACAACAAACAAACAAACAAAAAACUAUUUUAGUGUUUCUACUUCAAAUGUGUUACUGUUUUUGUAAUUAUUUGUUAAAGUUGCUGGCAGAAAAUUGUUUCUACACAACUUUUUUUUUUU